rnacentral:rRNA from 2 species
UUGGCGGCGUGCCUAACGCAUGCAAGUCGCACGGGGGCUUCGGCCCUAGUGGCGGACGGGUGAGUAACACGUAGGGACCUGCCCAGAAGUGGGGGACAACUCUCCGAAAGGGGAGCUAAUACCGCAUACGGUCUACGGACCAAAGCAGCAAUGCGCUUCUGGAGGGUCCUGCGGUGGAUUAGCUUGUUGGUGGGGUAACGGCCUACCAAGGCGACGAUCCAUAGCUGGUCUGAGAGGAUGAUCAGCCACACUGGGACUGAGACACGGCCCAGACUCC